AUGACAGUACAACCGAUAAACACAAUUAGCUGGAAUGUGCGGGGGCUUAAUUUCCCAGACCGAAGAGCUACUGUUAAAGCAACGCUUGCCGACUCCUCCUGCCAGCUUGUCUGUCUUCAGGAGACUAAGUUGAGUGUUGUCGACAAAUUCAUCAUUGUGUCACUUGGGGGAAACAGACUGGGUGGCUUUGCCCAGCGUCCGGCGAACGGAACUAGGGGCGGUAUCCUAUUGCUAUGGGAUGAGAAUCUACUUGAUGCUUCCGACUUUGUCACCUCUGCAUACUGUAUUUCUGCCACGUUCUGUAUACGUGCUUCUGGCUCCUGCUUCAAGCUCACUUCGGUCUAUGGCCCCACUGAUUCCUCGUGCAAAGAUGCUUUUUUUGCGGAGUUGCUCAACCACAAACCACCUACGGAUGUGGCUUGGUUGGUUGCCGGGGACUUUAACCAAAUUUACCGAGCCAGGAAUAAGAACAAGAGGAACGUCAACACGAGCAGAAUUAACCGCUUCCGGUCGACGCUUCAUUCCUGUGAACUCAAGGAAAUCCACCUCCAGAACAGACGCUUCACUUGGAGCAACGAACGCGCCAAUCCCACAUUGUGCAAGCUUGAUUCCUUCUUCUGCAAUGCCGAGUGGGACACCACUCACAACAAUCACUUGUUACAUGCCCUGUCGUCUUCCCUCUCUAACCAUUGCCCUCUGUUGCUC
rnacentral:rRNA from 1 species